rnacentral:lncRNA from 1 species
UCCGCACAGACUAUGUCGUCCUGGGGCACGAACCCCACCACGUAGCAAAUCUCCCGCGCGUCCCGAACCUCCCGCUGCAUCCCCGCCCCAAGGGCGUUGAUGUUGAAGUUGCUGCUCCCACUGCUGGCGUUCUUUGCGUUGCUACGGCCGCCCUCCCUGUCUCCACCACCAGCUGUCACUCCUUCUUCUCCGUCAUUUCCUGCCUCUCCGCCGUCGCCAGGAGGCCCCCCUCCCUCGUUCCUUAAUGUCACGGUACCCCGGCUGCUGCUGCCUCGGACUGCCCGCCCCGCAAGCAGCGCUAGGAGACUCGACUUGCCGCAACCGGAAGGGCCGAGGAUGGCGGAGAGGUGGCCGGCCAGGAAGCGGCCUGCAAGUUCGAUGCGGAUGUGCAUAAGUAGUGUACUUAAUAAGGUGGAGUCAAUACUAUGGCCCCUUAGCUCAGCUGGUUAGAGCGUGGUGCUAAUACACCAAUAGGCACGCCAAGGUCAUCGGUUCGAUCCCGAUAAGGGCCACAGGUAGUGUUUUUGUGGGCAGAGUAUCCUUUUCUUCCCGUAGCCAGAGGUGGGGAAUGAUGAUGGCUACCCGCGGAACUAUUCCCGGCAGAGUUUAUGGCCGCUCCAACUUCUCCGGACACACCUGCACUUGCAAGCGGAACUCCUAUCUUUUAACUUGGUUCCGUGGGGGGGUUCAUGAGGGCCCGUCGGGACUUAUAUAUACUACGUUAUGACGAAGGGUCAGCCGACGUACGGGUGUCCCAAGGGAUUAUAAUCUGAACUGGAGGGUUCCGUGUGCAUGCGUAUUUGGCAAUGCAAUCAACAACAGUUCACGAGAGCUAUGACUCUAUGACUCCCCGCAUGUUUGAGUAGGGGAGCAGUGGAACAUGCCUGGCCAUUCUAAAGGUUGCAUGGCAGCAGUAGCGGAUGUGAAAGCGUGUAGUGAGUAGCGCAGCGGAUGCAACAGCGCUAACCAGCGAAUGCGCCAACCGUUGGCAGCUGGUGGUUGAUGCCGCACCUGACACGCCGUUGAGAACCAGAUUGCCAUGCGGUUGACCGUUGGCCCUCCACGUGAGAUCCUCAACCGCCAAGUGGUAGCGCUGGAUUGCACCCAGAUCAGGAUAGGCGGCCGUGACUGGCUGG